UGAGGAAUAUUGGUCAAUGGGCGGGAGCCUGAACCAGCCAAGUCGCGUGAGGGAAGACGGCCCUACGGGUUGUAAACCUCUUUUGCCGGGAGCAAAGAAGCCACGGAGUGAUUCUUUUGAGAGCGUAAACCCGGAGAAAAGGCAUCGGCUAACUCCGUGCCAGCAGCCGCGUAAUACGGAGGAUGCGAGCGUUAUCCGGAUUUAUUGGGUUUAAAGGGUGCGUAGGCGGCGCGACAAGUCAGCGGUAAAAAUUCGGGGCUCAACCCCGCUCCGGCCGUUGAAACUGUCGUGCUCGAGUGAGCGAGAAGUAUGCGGAAUGCGAGGUGUAGCGGUGAAAUGCAUAGAUAUCACGCAGAACUCCGAUUGCGAAGGCAGCAUACCGGCGCUCGACUGACGCUGAGGCACGAAAGCGUGGGGAUCAAACAGGAUUAGAUACC
rnacentral:rRNA from 1 species